rnacentral:misc_RNA from 1 species
AAAGAAUUCAGACCAACCACCAUAGCUAGAAGUGGUGCUGCUAGCAUCACCCAGAUGCUUAUUGAAGUCUCUGUUACAGUUGGAGGAAUGGAAGGAGUAGGAGAUGGAAGAACCCACGAAGAAUCAGAUGGGUUAUUAUUAUUUCCUUGGAUGACCAUGGUAGCUAAGGUUGCUGCUUGACCCAUCUCACUAGUCAAAGAGGGUUGAUAGUUGAAA